GACGAACGCUGGCGGCGUGCCUAAUACAUGCAAGUAGAACGCUGAAGGAGGAGCUUGCUUCUCUGGAUGAGUUGCGAACGGGUGAGUAACGCGUAGGUAACCUGCCUGGUAGCGGGGGAUAACUAUUGGAAACGAUAGCUAAUACCGCAUAAGAGUAGAUGUUGCAUGACAUUUGCUUAAAAGGUGCAAUUGCAUCACUACCAGAUGGACCUGCGUUGUAUUAGCUAGUUGGUGGGGUAACGGCUCACCAAGGCGACGAUACAUAGCCGACCUGAGAGGGUGAUCGGCCAAACUGGGACUGAGACACGGCCCAGACUCCUACGGGAGGCAGCAGUAGGGAAUCUUCGGCAAUGGACGGAAGUCUGACCGAGCAACGCCGCGUGAGUGAAGAAGGUUGUCGGAUCGUAAAGCUCUGUUGUAAGAGAAGAACGAGUGUGAGAGUGGAAAGUUCACACUGUGACGGUAUCUUACCAGAAAGGGACGGCUAACUACGUG
rnacentral:rRNA from 1 species